UACGUAGGGGGCGAGCGUUGUCCGGAAUUAUUGGGCGUAAAGAGCUCGUAGGCGGCUUGGCAAGUCGGAUGUGAAAACUCCAGGCUCAACCUGGAGCCGCCAUUCGAUACUGCUAUGGCUAGAGUCCGGUAGAGGAGUGUGGAAUUCCCGGUGUAGCGGUGAAAUGCGCAGAUAUCGGGAGGAACACCGAUGGCGAAGGCAGCACUCUGGGCCGGCACUGACGCUGAGGAGCGAAAGCGUGGGGAGCGAACAGG
rnacentral:rRNA from 1 species